rnacentral:rRNA from 1 species
GCUACCAUGCAGUCGAACGGAGAAUCAGCAAUGGUUCUUAGUGGCGAACGGGUGAGUAACGCGUAGACAACCUGCCUCAAAGAUGGGGACAACACCGCGAAAGUGGUGCUAAUACCGAAUGUUGCAUUGGAUUCGCAUGAAUCUGAUACUAAAGGUGGCCUCUUUAAAUGCUACCGCUUUGAGAUGGGUCUGCGUCUGAUUAGCUAGUUGGUGAGGUAACAGCUCACCAAGGCGAUGAUCAGUAGCCGGUCUGAGAGGAUGAACGGCCACACUGGGACUGAGACACGGCCCAGACUCCUACGGGAGGCAGCAGUGGGGAAUCUUCCGCAAUGGACGAAAGUCUGACGGAGCAACGCCGCGUGAGUGAAGAAGGUUUUCGGAUCGUAAAGCUCUGUCUUUGAGGACGAACGUGCUUAAUGUAAAUAAUGUUAAGUAAUGACGGUACUCGAGGAGGAAGCCACGGCUAACUACGUGCCAGCAGCCGCGGUAAUACGUAGGUGGCAAGCGUUGUCCGGAAUUAUUGGGCGUAAAGCGCGCGCAGGCGGGAUAUUAAGUCUGUCUUAAAAGUUCGGGGCUCAACCCCGUGAUGGGAUGGAAACUAAUAUUCUUGAGUGCAGGAGAGGAAAGUGGAAUUCCCAGUGUAGCGGUGAAAUGCGUAGAUAUUGGGAGGAACACCAGUGGCGAAGGCGACUUUCUGGACUGUGUCUGACGCUGAGGCGCGAAAGCCAGGGGAGUGAACGGGAUUAGAUACCCCGGUAAUCCUGGCCGUAAACGAUGGGUACUAGGUGUAGGAGGUAUCGACCCCUUCUGUGCCGGAGUUAACGCAAUAAGUACCCCGCCUGGGGAGUACGGCCGCAAGGUUGAAACUCAAAGGAAUUGACGGGGGCCCGCACAAGCGGUGGAGUAUGUGGUUUAAUUCGACGCAACGCGAAGAACCUUACCAGGACUUGACAUCGAUUGAAAGUUCUAGAGAUAGAACCCUUCUCUUCGGAGAACAAGAAGACAGGUGGGGGCAUGGCUGUCGUCAGCUCGUG